UACGUAGGGUGCAAGCGUUGUCCGGAAUUAUUGGGCGUAAAGAGCUUGUAGGCGGUUUGUCGCGUCUGCUGUGAAAUUUCGGGGCUCAACCCCGAACUUGCAGUGGGUACGGGCAGACUAGAGUGUGGUAGGGGAGACUGGAAUUCCUGGUGUAGCGGUGAAAUGCGCAGAUAUCAGGAGGAACACCGAUGGCGAAGGCAGGUCUCUGGGCCACUACUGACGCUGUGGCGCGAAAGCUAGGGGAGCGAACGGG
rnacentral:rRNA from 1 species